rnacentral:lncRNA from 1 species
CACUUAAUCUGCUUUACUUUAGGCCCUCAUCAUUUCGUAUCUGAUUUCUCGUAAUUGUCUUUUCAUUCAGGAAACUCCAAUUUCAUGAUGCCAGUAGAAAAAUGGGACCCAGUGCAAGACUGAUAUUUCCAGGUCCUCCAGCCACUAUAAAAUUUCUCAUUUUCUUCCAGGCCCCCCAGCCACUAUAAAAUUUCUCAUUUUCUUGCAAGAAUGGCAGGUGUCAAGACAAAGUUUGGAGAAGCCUCAAAGAAGUACUCUAGGAACAAUGUGAUUGGGGUAGGUAUUUCCCACACAGUCAAGCUCCCUGAGGGAAGAACCCUGGGUAAAGCUCACCUAUGAAGUCCCCAAAAUUACUGAGUACCCAACUCAGAGCUGACUUUUAAUGAAUAUUUUUUAAAUGCGCAAAUGAAUAAUGAAUGAUUAUUUUGAAAAUUAUCUUGG